GUACAUUGACUGUAACGUCAAGCUGGUGACAAAGGAAUGUAGCUGGCAUCAUGUCAUAAAUGAGCAAAAAUCAUAGGAAGAGCCGAACUGCCAUCGUCCUUAGAUGAGGAACUUCACUCCUUCGGAUGUCGCUCCUCCAGGUUGAUGAUUCUGCUCUUGUCCAAGAAUGUAACAGAGUUUGGGUGAGGAGAUAUUCAUCUUGUUUGUCAGGAAUUCAGAUUUUGGAGCCUGUGGGUGUGCAGCAAGAAGACACGUAAGGAGGCUGAGACGUGUCUCAUCCAGGGGCUCAACUGAUAAUUCAGGAUUCCAGGCUAUGGAGCACACAACCAAAUGUAAGUGAGAUGGACUAAACACUAAUCACUGGGCUGGGGGAAGCAAUACGUUUUUCUAGUGUGUGUGGUCAGUUGUCUCACGUAAACAUAGGCAAGUGUGCGACAAAUUUUUUGCACAGUAGAGUAUUUUAAGUAGUGUUUUCUGUCCCCUUUUCUGUGGGGCAAGGAUAGGUCACCGAGUCCACGUUUGGGUGCAAUGCAAAUGAACACAGUUGGGGUUCAGCUUUCACUCUGGGUUUCACAGCAUGGCAGUCGUGCUCCAAGAGGUGUUAGGCUGUUUGUUUGUAGCACUGAGGGAAAAUUAGAAGUGGAUAAGUCCUUAAAGAAACUGAGGAAGCUCAGACUAAUAAAAAAAUGCCAAAGAGGUUAUUGAUAUUCCGCGGGUGGGUAUCUUCUGCUGAGAAAAGUUUAAAGUUUGACAAGGCACCAAGAUGUCUGUCCAUUCAUUUACCACUCAAUGGUGACUGCAGUGAAAGACUCCAGAAGUGGUUGGUCUAAACUUUCCUUUUCCCAGUAAUAUGAAAAUGCAGCUCAGCUCACAGGGGAUCCCACUUUAGAUGUGGCUGCUGACACAGGAACCCACCAUCUGUCCCGGUGGCUGUUGCUUUGUGCUGUUGGGUUUUCUCUGUCCCUGCUGUCUCUGUACCCUGUGUGCUCGGGUCUCCAGCAAGCUCCAGCUCCAGUCGGUCCCCAGGAAACAGACAGGGCUCUCACGGCACUGACAAUGAGUGCAAAUCAUUCCUUGUCAUCUCCUUCUGUCAAGCUGUAGUUGGAUAAUUCUCCCAAAGGCACUAUGCGCCUGGGGUAGCUCGGUGCUGCCCCACCAAAGUAGGGAUAGAUGGACUUGUUUCCCCUUGGGCUGUCCCUCUGGUAUACAAGAGGUGGACAGGACAUCGGUGGUGAGGAAGCAGUUCCUGGAUGGAUUUAGAUGAGAUGUUAGACCACAAGUGUGACCAGCGAGCUUGAAAACCUACUUUGCCUUUGCAUGGUAUGGACUGGUCACCCUUUACUGACAGUUCUCACCACCAUCUUCUCCCUCCUGCUGGUGAAGGCACUUGAGAGCGUGCCAGUCCUGGCAUGGACCUGAUGGGGGGCACAUCCAGGUGCUUUCGUGUCCCACCACGUGGGCUUGCUGCCAGCUGUGUUUACAGUGAGGUGGACACCCCAAAACCGGAUGAAUUCAGCGGGGUGUAAGCCUGUACUAGAGGUGAGAAUGAAUAUAAGGUGUGUGACAUCCGUGGCCCGAAGGAGAAGCCACCCGAGAGCCACGCUGCUGAGUGUGUCUGUCUGUUAGUGAGCCCCUUGAGUUCAAAUUCUGCUUUUCCAGUGUUAAUGUUCACAGAUCGCUUUGUUUUUCUGAGUCAAUAUUCAACAGUUUUAAAGGACUGCAUUGCAGUGGCCUUCAAAGUGUGCAUUCGGAGAGUUCUGGCUGAAGUAUAUAUAUCUCUCAGAAACUUGCACAUCUGUAUACUUCAAACAAACUAUUUCCCAGGUCAAGAUUUCUAGGUAGUGCAAAACCUUUCCGCGCUGUUGAGUAGUUCACUUUUAACCUGUGACAUUUACGGUGUUAAAAGAAAACUGAAGGCAUUUUUGCUUUUCACUUUUUACGAAUUCUGCACUGAAAAUGUAUAGAACGAUGCAAAUGGCCAAGAUGGGUCCUGCUGAGACAACUUCCUACUCUGGGGCUUUUGGUUUAUAGACAGUGCUGCCUAAAGCACGAUCCAAAGCUCACUGAAGUCUGGGAGAGUCUCCCCUGGAUAUUCCUGGGCUUUGGAUCAGCUCAAUAGAGGAAGACGGGCAGGAGCCCAGCACAGCUGAUCCCACCUCACUGGAACCAGUAGGAGCCUGUUGGGCACUGAAGAAACUGAAGUUCAGGUUUUUGCAGGAUCUUGAGUAUUAUUAGAAGGACAUUUUUGAUUGUUCACUGAAAAACUGGAGAACAUUGGGGUUGAUACACAAUAGCCUAUAAAUAAUCACAAGUCAUAUUUUGUUAAUAUGGCAACACCAUUGAUGUAUAUAAUAAGCUUCCAAAGAUUGUUUUACACACUCUCGAGUAUUUUUCACUGAUGAAGGAAUUAAUAGAGCUAGUUCAUUUAAAACAAUGAAGUGAGGUAAUUUUGAAUCGAAACUGAGAGCAAACAGAAUUGUGGGAUUCAGAGAUUUGCUAAAUGUCCAAUAUAUUAAUGUGCAAAGCUGUUGUGGGAAAAAAUAAUUCUCCAAGUGUGCUUUGAUGGAAUGAUUUAUUAUUCCUAAAUGCUUGCCGGAAGAACGUUGAAUGUUUUCCUGUGUUUGAAUGUACAGUUUCUAAGCUGGAUACAUUUUAAUGUUUGAAAACUUUGUGUAUAUCAAGCUUGUUGUAAAAUACUCCUUUUGUUCCUCUGUUACCGAUGCGACAUUGGAUAGUUCAAUUCCACACUAGAUAUUUUAUGUUGAACAAAUAAAUAGUUUUUUCAGUAAAA